GAUAUCUACGGAAAUUUGCCUCUGAAAAGGAUCGCUGUGCUCAACUGGGUGAACAACCAAUGCGGUGAAAUUGAUUUCGUUGUCAAAGUGGACGACAACGUUGACGUCAACGUUCUCAAUCUAGCGAAAUUUGUCCACUCCCACCACCACAACUCCAAUAAAAGCGUUUUCGGAGUUGGGAAAUCCAGCUUGGGUCGGCCUGCUCGAGGUGAUCAUUUUUUCAGCGUUUUUUUUGUUUUGUUUUCCUUAAUGAAUUUGGAUUAAUUGAUUUCUCUUCGAUUUUGCUUUUAGCGAAUUUUUCAGCGGACAAAAAAUGGAAAAUGGCUGUCGAGGAGUGGCCGUGGAAAGAGUACCCCCCUCACAUAUUGGGAGACGUGAUGGUUUUGAUAACCGGAAAUUCUAUUCGGCCGUUAUUAGCUGCUUGUCAGACGACGCCUCUAAUGCCGGUGGAAAACGUCUACUUCUAUGGGAUUUGUACGAAAAAAGCUGGCAUUCAAAAUCACAAUUACACAGGCCCCUCAUUGAUUCAAUAAUUGAUGGGCUCCCAGCACAACCAUGCACUCACAAUCAGCACUAAAAUUAAUGAAGUUGACGAUCAUUAUUGGUCGUGAUAUAAUUCGAGUUCAACUUGAUUGUUUUUUUUUAUCAUGAAGAAGCAAUUGUGAUAAUCGACGUUCAACUAAUAAAAACAGUAUAAUAAUACUGAUUUUAAUUUAAAUAAAGGCUUUGAAAAAUUUG